GUGCCAGCCGCCGCGGUAAUACGGAGGGUGCGAGCGUUGUUCGGAAUUAUUGGGCGUAAAGCGCGUGUAGGCGGUUUUCUAAGUCUGAUGUGAAAGCCCCGGGCUCAACCUGGGAAGUGCAUUGGAAACUGGGGAACUUGAAUACGGGAGAGGGCAGUGGAAUUCCUAGUGUAGGAGUGAAAUCCGUAGAUAUUAGGAGGAACACCGGUGGCGAAGGCGGCUGCCUGGACCGAUAUUGACGCUGAGACGCGAAAGCGUGGGGAGCAAACAGGAUUAGAUACCCUCGUAGUCC
rnacentral:rRNA from 1 species